GACGAGGGGUCCUAGCGUUGUUCGGAAUCAUUGGGCGUAAAGCGUAUGUAGGCGGCUCUUUAAGUCAGGUGUGAAAUCCCAUGGCUCAACCAUGGAAUUGCAUUUGAAACUGAAGAGCUUGAAUGUGGAAGAGGUUGGUAGAAUACCUGGUGUAGUGGUGAAAUACGUAGAUAUCAGGUGGAAUACCGGUGGCGAAGGCGGCCAACUGGUCCAACAUUGACGCUGAGAUACGAAAGCGUGGGGAUCAAACAGG
rnacentral:rRNA from 1 species